rnacentral:lncRNA from 1 species
CUGCAAAGUGACUCAAAAGCCAUACAUUCCACUUCAGAAGAGCAGGUAUCCUAUUACUGUGGGCAUGACACAGGUCCAGGAUCUUCCUUCAGGCUCAGCUGUUCUAGCAGGGUCGGUUCCUCCUCUCAUCAACAGCACUCACUGCCAUCAGGAACACUUUUGGCUGGACUUUUUCCAGGUCAUAAUCCAAAACUCAUCAUGACUGCUUGGAAGAAGCUUAAACUAAAGGAUGUAAGGUGCAUCAGCCCAGCAGCACACAAAGACAAGUGAGUGUUCAAGGAGGACGCUAAAAGCUAGAAGGAACUUAAGGAUGCUGGCCAUAUGCUGCAAUGCCUGUUACCAUAACAAUUGGUUAUUCUGGCUGAGCACGAGGAAAUGAAAAAAAAAAAAGCUUUUCUGGAAACUUUUGCACUGACUCUUUUGAUGGGACCUCUCUUAUCCUCAAAGCUAAAAGUAGAAACGAC